UCAAGAUCCUUUAAAAUAGAAGAACCAAAGUGUUGAAGAACUAUUUCGCUUUGUUCUCCUUGUGAACUAAGUUUUUGACAAAGACAGCCUCAAAGUCAUCUGUAUUUAUUCUGGAAAUAGGCGGCUAAAAAUAUCCCACGAGUAAGAAGAAUAUCUCAGGCUUCUCUGGUUCCAGCCGAGAGGAGCUGUCUACAGCGUGGCAGAUCGUCUGCGUGUGUCAGCCUGGUCAUUCACUAGGAAAGCUCAGAUUUUUGUCAUAGCCAAACAAAGCCACCCUAUCCAUCUUGUUGUCUUUCCUUUCUUCUCUGUGAAUAAAAGCACAUUCAGCAUUGGAUCUCUCUCUUCAAUAAGGAGGAAGAAAUUGUUUCCAGAAGUGUCAAAGAAGUUUGCAAGAUGGAGGAGAAUAUGAAUUAUAUUUGAAGACUGGGCAACACCUACAAAUACCAACGCAAUUAAGUAGAAAGCAGAUUAGACGAGGAUACCAUGAACAGAUUUCUAGUGGCCAGAAUCCAAAUGAAUGUUAGUGGGAGAGUGUUGCAGAAUUACAGGGUAGUUGCAAAAGUUAGAGAGAAUACAUGUAGUUAAAUAAUCUGGGAGUAAAAUACAUAUGGAUAUAACUAUAGACAAUGAAUUCUCACUUGUCCAAACGAGUUUGUAGCAACAACAAAAAACAGGCUCUUGAGUUUUUCCCAUGCCGUCAUUAGCUUUUUAAUAGGCUAUUAACCACUGAAAUUUCUCAGCAGCAGCAGGUCAUAUUGGGAAAUAUCCUUGCUGUGCAGUCUCUUUUGGAUUAGAUUAGAUAUUCAC
rnacentral:lncRNA from 1 species